UACGUAGGGUGCGAGCGUUAAUCGGAAUUACUGGGCGUAAAGCGUGCGUAGUCGGUUAUUCAAGUCGGGUGUGAAAGCCCCGGGCUCAACCUGGGAAUUGCAUUCGAUACUGUGUAGCUAGAGUUCGGCAGAGGGAAGUGGAAUUUCCGGUGUAGCGGUGAAAUGCGUAGAUAUCGGAAGGAACAUCAGUGGCGAAAGCGACUUCCUGGACCAGAACUGACGAUCAGGCACGAAAGCGUGGGGAGCAAACAGG
rnacentral:rRNA from 1 species